UGCAAUGAGAAGUGUACUAAGGUAGCGUGAUAAGUUGUCUUUUAAUUGGAGAAUGGUAUGAAUGGUUUGACGUAUAGCAACUGUCUUUGUAAAAUAGAAUUAAGUUUCCUUUUAAGUGAAAAGGCUUAAGUUUUUGUAAAAGACGAGAAGACCCUGUCGAGCUUGAUUUAGGGUAGCUGAUUUAUGGUAGUUUUAAGUUUUAUUGGGGCAAUAUAAGACAAAAUAACGUUUUAAUAUUUGACUGGGAUCCUUUGUUGAAAGAAAGUGGCAAAAGCUACCGCAGGGAUAACAGCGUUAUCUUUUUUGAGAGAUCUUAUUGAGAAAAAGGUUUGCGACCUCGAGUUUGGAUUAUA
rnacentral:rRNA from 1 species